GGAUGGGUGGCCGAGCGGCUGAAGGCGCUCCCCUGCUAAGGGAGUAUACGGUGAUGAGCCGUAUCGCGGGUUCGAAUCCCGCCCCACUU
rnacentral:tRNA from 1 species